rnacentral:rRNA from 1 species
AUUGAACGCUGGCGGCAUGCCUUACACAUGCAAGUCGAACGGUAACAGGUCUUCGGAUGCUGACGAGUGGCGAACGGGUGAGUAAUACAUCGGAACGUGCCCGAUCGUGGGGGAUAACGGAGCGAAAGCUUUGCUAAUACCGCAUACGAUCUACGGAUGAAAGCAGGGGACCGCAAGGCCUUGCGCGAACGGAGCGGCCGAUGGCAGAUUAGGUAGUUGGUGGGAUAAAAGCUUACCAAGCCGACGACCUGUAGCUGGUCUGAGAGGACGACCGGCCACACUGGGACUGAGACACGGCCCAGACUCCUACGGGAGGCAGCAGUGGGGAAUUUUGGACAAUGGGCGCAAGCCUGAUCCAGCAAUGCCGCGUGCAGGAUGAAGGCCUUCGGGUUGUAAACUGCUUUUGUACGGAACGAAAAGGCUCUGGUUAAUACCUGGGGCUCAUGACGGUACCGUAAGAAUAAGCACCGGCUAACUACGUGCCAGCCGCCGCAGUAAAAC